ACGGGUGAGUAACGCGUGGGAAUCUACCCAUCUCUACGGAAUAACGCAUGGAAACGUGUGCUAAUACCGUAUACGUCCUUCGGGAGAAAGAUUUAUCGGAGAUGGAUGAGCCCGCGUUGGAUUAGCUAGUUGGUGGGGUAAAGGCCUACCAAGGCGACGAUCCAUAGCUGGUCUGAGAGGAUGAUCAGCCACACUGGGACUGAGACACGGCCCAGACUCCUACGGGAGGCAGCAGUGGGGAAUAUUGGACAAUGGGCGCAAGCCUGAUCCAGCCAUGCCGCGUGAGUGAUGAAGGCCCUAGGGUUGUAAAGCUCUUUCACCGGUGAAGAUAAUGACGGUAACCGGAGAAGAAGCCCCGGCUAACUUCGUGCCAGCAGCCGCGGUAAUACGAAGGGGGCUAGCGUUGUUCGGAUUUACUGGGCGUAAAGCGCACGUAGGCGGAUUAUUAAGUCAGGGGUGAAAUCCCGGGGCUCAACCCCGGAACUGCCUUUGAUACUGGUAGUCUUGAGUUCGAGAGAGGUGAGUGGAAUUCCGAGUGUAGAGGUGAAAUUCGUAGA
rnacentral:rRNA from 1 species